AUACGUAGGUGACAAGCGUUAUCCGGAUUUACUGGGCGUAAAGGGCGUGUAGGCGGUCUUGCAAGUCAGAAGUGAAAUUCCUGAGCUCAACUCGGGCGCUGCUUCUGAAACUGCAGGACUUGAGUGCUGGAGGGGAUAGCGGAAUUCCUAGUGGAGCGGUAAAAUGCGCAGAUAUUAGGAAGAACACCGGUGGCGAAGGCGGCUAUCUGGACAGUAACUGACGCUGAGGCGCGAAAGUGUGGGGAGCAAACAGGAUUAGAUACCCUGGUAGUCCACACUGUAAACGAUGAAUGCUAGGUGUAAGAGGUAUCGACCCCUUUUGUGCCGGAGUCAACACAAUAAGCAUUCCGCCUGGGGAGUACGGCCGCAAGGUUGAAACUCAAAGGAAUUGACGGGG
rnacentral:rRNA from 1 species